UGCAAUGGCGGCUGUGCGUGGAAGGGCUUCGGCCCUGCCGGGUUCCUGUAUCUCCGGUCGACCAAUCCGCGCACGGCUGCCACCCAU
rfam:Pseudomonas sp. MF4836 contig003, whole genome shotgun sequence.